rnacentral:rRNA from 1 species
CAGCGCCACGAGUGGCAAUCGCGUUUACUUGGCCUAAAGCGUCCGUAGCCUGUUUGAUAAAUCUCUUGUGAAAUUGUUAGGCUCAACUUAACAACGUGCAGGAGACACUAUCACACUUGGGACCGGGAGGAGUCAGAGGUAUUCCUUGGGGAGCGGUAAAAUGCUAUAAUCCUUGGAAGACCACCUGUGGCGAAGGCGUCUGACCAGAACGGAUCCGACGGUGAGGGACGAAAGCUAGGGGAGCGAACCGGAUUAGAUACCCGCGUAGUCC